rnacentral:rRNA from 1 species
UACGAAGGGUGCAAGCGUUAAUCGGAAUUACUGGGCGUAAAGCGUGCGUAGGCGGUUUGUUAAGUCCGAUGUGAAAGCCCUGGGCUCAACCUGGGAAUGGCAUUGGAUACUGGCAGGCUAGAGUGCGGUAGAGGGGUGCGGAAUUCCCGGUGUAGCGGUGAAAUGCGUAGAGAUCGGGAGGAACAUCCGUGGCGAAGGCGGCACCCUGGACCAGCACUGACGCUGAGGCACGAAAGCGUGGGGAG